rnacentral:rRNA from 1 species
GAUGAACGCUGGCGGCGUGCCUAAUACAUGCAAGUCGAACGAAACUACUUUAUCACCGAGUGCUUGCACUCACCGAUACAGAGUUGAGUGGCGAACGGGUGAGUAACACGUGGGCAACCUGCCCAAAAGAGGGGGAUAACACUUGGAAACAGGUGCUAAUACCGCAUAACCAUAGUUACCGCAUGGUAACUAUGUAAAAGGUGGCUAUACUACCGCUUUUGGAUGGGCCCGCGGCGCAUUAGCUAGUUGGUAGGGUAAAGGCUUACCAAGGCAAUGAUGCGUAGCCGAAUUGAGAGGUUGAUCGGCCACAUUGGGACUGAGACACGGCCCAAACUCCUACGGGAGGCAGCAGUAGGGAAUCUUCCACAAUGGGCGAAAGCCUGAUGGAGCAACGCCGCGUGGGUGAAGAAGGUCUUCGGAUCGUAAAACCCUGUUGUUAGAGAAGAAAGUGCGUGAGAGUAACUGUUCACGUUUCGACGGUAUCUAACCAGAAAGCCACGGCUAACUACGUG